rnacentral:rRNA from 1 species
CCUACGGGAGGCUGCAGUGAGGAAUAUUGGUCAAUGGACGGAAGUCUGAACCAGCCAAGUAGCGUGCGGGAUGAAGGCCCUACGGGUCGUAAACCGCUUUUGCACGGGGAUAAAACCCUCCACUUGUGGAGUUCUGCAUGUACCGUGCGAAUAAGGACCGGCUAAUUCCGUGCCAGCAGCCGCGGUAAUACGGAAGGCCCGAGCGUUAUCCGGAUUUAUUGGGUUUAAAGGGAGCGUAGGCGGACCGUUAAGUCAGCUGUUAAAUUCGGCGGCUCAACCGCGCACCCGCAGUGGAACCGGGAAGUCUGGAGUACAGAACAGGCAGGCGGAAUUCGUGGUGUAGCGGUGAAAUGCAUAGAUAUCACGAGGAACCCCGAUUGCGAAGGCAGCCUGCCGGAGUGCGACUGACACUGAGGCUCGAAGGUGCGGGUAUCAAACAGGAUUAGAUACCCGGGUAGUC